UACGUAGGUGACAAGCGUUGUCCGGAUUUACUGGGCGUAAAGAGCGCGCAGGCGGUCGUUCAAGUCGCGUGUGAAAGCCCCCGGCUCAACUGGGGAGGGUCACGCGAUACUGAUCGACUCGAAGGCAGGAGAGGGUAGUGGAAUUCCCGGUGUAGCGGUGAAAUGCGCAGAUAUCGGGAAGAACACCCGUGGCGAAGGCGGCUUCUGGGACGGUACUGACGCUGAGACGCGAAAGCGUGGGGAGCGAACAGG
rnacentral:rRNA from 1 species